rnacentral:rRNA from 1 species
CCGGAGAGGGAGCCUGAGAAACGGCUACCACAUCUAAGGAAGGCAGCAGGCGCGCAAAUUACCCAAUCCUAAUACAGGGAGGUAGUGACAAGAAAUAACAAUACAGGACAUUUUGGUUUUGUAAUUGGAAUGAGUUAAGUAUAAACCCCUUUACAAGUAUCAAUUGGAGGGCAAGUCUGGUGCCAGCAGCCGCGGUAAUUCCAGCUCCAAUAGCGUAUAAUAAAGUUGUUGCAGUUAAAAAGCUCGUAGUUGGAUUUCUGUUAAUAAUUUAUAUAAUAUAUUUUGAUAGAUAUUUAUAUAAUAUUAACAUAAUUCAUAUUACUAUUUUUUUUUAGUAUAUGAAAUUUUACUUUGAGAAAAUUAGAGUGCUUAAAGCAGGCAUAUGUCUUGAUUACUCCAGCAUGGAAUAAUAUUAAAGAUUUUUAUCUUUCUUAUUGGUACUAAGAUAAGAAUAAUGAUUAAUAGGGACAGUUGGGGGCAUUUGUAUUUAACAGUCAGAGGUGAAAUUCUUAGAUUUGUUAAAGACAAACUAA